UACAACCACUCUAGACAACGCAUCUAACAAUGACAGGGCAGCCAACAUUCUAAUGGAUAACUUUAAAGGGAAAGGAAAAUUGCAUUUUGAGAGAUUGUUUUUUGUUGUGCUCACAUCCUAAAUUUGAUAGUGCAAGAUGGUUUAGGCUCUGCCUACCAUCUGUAUGUUAAUCCUCUGGUAUUCCCGUAACCCCUCAUCAAUAUAAGCUUCUUUCCUUUCUCUCUCUCACGAAAACUCUUUGAACUCCGGCGAUUCGUGACCAGGAAAAGUGAAGAGACAUAAGGAGAGAAUCGAAGAGAUAACCACGAGCAAGAGUGUCGGCAGUGACCAAACAAGGUUUCGAUUAGGGUUUCCCAAGGAGGAAGAAGGUGACAUGUUCUUGUUCGAUUGGCGUUCUGACGAGAACUGAAUCUGGGACUUUUAUGGAUGGUGAUUUGUUAGUGAACAGAGAUGGUGUUAGAAUUGUUUCUCAAAGCCAAUCUGAUACUAUACAUGGAAUCUUGCUUUGCAAGAAGAUUCCGGUGACUUACAAACCGCCAUUGUUAGUUACCGGAAUAAGUUCCCCUGGUCUCUUUUGCAACCCUUUCUCAUUUUAAUGGAAAGAUAUCAUCUUUUUGCUUCAAGUUGUAAACAGUUCCGAUACAAGCGUAAAUCACAUGUUUGCGGUGGUUCUUCUAAUAUGAUCGAAUGAAAGCCCCUGCCGAUAUUCAAGCUACAGUAGCCCAUAAUGACGAUGACAGGGAUGCAUUGAUUGGCAAUAUGGAAGGGGAGGUACUUAUUAAAAUUAAUCUUAUUCUUCGCUGAUAUUUUUUCCUAAUUAUGUUUAUUGAAGUUUUUCUUUUUGCAUAACACGCUGAAGAGGAUGAGGAACCAUCGAAAGUUUCUUCCAAACCUCUGCCUCCCAGACCCAUGGCAGUGUGUUCAACAUUUUAUCUAUAGAACAAACCCUAUGCGUCAUCAUGCAGCAAAUUUCAGGCAUGAUUUGGUUUUACUGAUUGCCAAAUCCACCGUGACCGUUUACAUCAUCAGUGGCAACAGUUACAAUCACCAAAUCCACCAAGCCUUUCUCAGUUGUUCCCGAAAUUCCCAAUUUUCAAACCCGGAGACAAAAUAUGGCCUGAAUUUGAGAUCAAUCGAAGACUUCUAUUAUUGGUAAGAUUGGGAAACCUGAAACGGUGAUAACUGAAUCGGUUUAAGGCGCAUAGGGAAGUGUCAUUUGAUGAGGUUAAGGGGGGAAGGGAAGGUUGAAAUGAAGAAGGUUAAGUAUUUUGCGGGGAGUACAUUGUAUCAUAUUGAUGAUUUGUUGUUUAAGUUGGAAGAUAUGCCAACGAAUUAUGGUGGGUUUAGGAAGAAAGUUAAAGGGUUGAAGAUUAGGAAGACGAUUGAGGCGUUGGAUCAGUUGAGAGGGUUGCCCGUGGGUGGGGAUGUGGAGCCUGGUGAGAUCCGACUUUGGAUCAUUUGGGUUUGAAUCCUACUGCUACAAUGAACCAGGUAGGGUUUGAAGUUUUUGACAGUUUAUUGCUGGGGGUGUGCAAAUAUGAGACGACACUAACUUAACAUGAAAUUUUCAAGGUCGGUUUGAGUAUAAACGGGUUUGAGUAUUUUCGGGUUGAACCUGUUGACACAUUCAGCUAAUGAGGUCGUGUUUGUGCAACCCAAUGGGUUUGCGGGUUGCCACGUAACCCAUUUAGUUUUUUUUAGUGUCUCAGUUUUUUUUAAUUAUAUUGAUCGAGUGUUUUAUGCCAUAAUUUAAAACUUAAAUGAGAAACAGGUAUAAGCUAUUAUGGUUAAAAUGUAAAUGGACAAAAAUGUGAUUUAACAAAACACAGACACAUUUAAAAAAAAAAAAAACUAAACGGGUUAACGAGGCAACCUGCAAACCCAUUGGCUGAAUGUGUCAACAGGUCGUAUGGUUAAAAUGUAAAUGUUUUAUAUACAUGUGUAAUUUUGGAUGCAAAAUAGUAACUUUAAAGUUCUAAUAUUUAAUAUGUGAAAAGUUAAAAAUAAAGAAAAAUCAGGUUAACGGAUCGUGUUAAUAUUUAAUAUGUGAAAAGUUAAAAAUAAAGUAAUGAUCGCAGCCAGCAUAUAUGGUGCUAAAUUUUCGUGCAAGAUCUCGCCAUGGCUUGCAAUGGGAUGCAUUUCUCCUCGCUCCAUGUUCGAUGAGUUGAAGAAGUCUGCAUUUAAGUAUGAUUGCUCAAAUCUGUCAUUGAAGGGGUGUUUGGUAGUGCAUGUUGGAAGUGAUAACAUGAAAUGAUUAUGAUCUCAAGCUAAUCACAAGCACCCUUUACUUGAACAAAAGUUGUUCUAUUUCUUAGGAUUUUUAUUGACUAAAAGCGUAAAAUAUAGAUUUUUUUUUUUGCCUUCAUCAAUGGAAAAGUUCUUUAAUAAGGUAGUAUAGAUAUAAAAAUAGAUAAUUGAAGGCUUUAAACGGGAUACUGGUGGUAUGAGUUUGAGAUAAAUUGCAUGGGUGAUGAUGCCACAACUGAGAAGUGGAGCCAGGAGAUCAAAACGACUAGGUGAUCUUCAGCCCGCCACUCAACCGAUUGGGCAAACUGAAAACAAGGAAGACAGGUGGUUGAAGGGGAAGAGGUGAUGCUGUAGGUAUAGGAAAAGGGUUUGUGGGGCAACAAAAGGUAGGUCGGCGGCUGGCAAUAAAGGUAGUGGCGUUAGAUUGAUUGAUUUGGACCAAAGGCGAAGAGUUUAAGAGGGGUCAUACUGUUUGUGAGGUACUUUUAUUUAUUUAUUUAUUUGAGUUGGUCUGUUUUGCUAUCAGGUUUAUAAUAAUUUUUGUUGCAA